rnacentral:rRNA from 1 species
GACGUAGGGUGCAAGCGUUAAUCGGAAUUACUGGGCGUAAAGCGUGCGCAGGCGGUUUUGUAAGACAGGUGUGAAAUCCCCGGGCUUAACCUGGGAACUGCAUUUGUGACUGCAAGGCUGGAGUGCGGCAGAGGGGGAUGGAAUUCCGCGUGUAGCAGUGAAAUGCGUAGAUAUGCGGAGGAACACCGAUGGCGAAGGCAAUCCCCUGGGCCUGCACUGACGCUCAUGCACGAAAGCGUGGGGAGCAAACAGG